rnacentral:lncRNA from 1 species
CUCGUCACAGCAAACAUUCAUUUAGGAAAGUAUUGCCGUCUGAAAUUGUACUUUAAACAAAGGAUGAGUAGUCCUUCAUAAUGAAGAGCCUGGCAGUAUACUUCUUGAUUGCAGUUUUCAUUGGAAACACUCUUGCAAUACCAGUGCAGAAACGAGAAACUAGCUAUGUCAGGGAGGCUGAAGAACCAUUCUAUGCCAUUGAACUUCCAAAAAGGCAUACUGCGCUUUUUGAUGAUUAUGGCCAGAAACCUGUGGCACCACACCUGCAGCUGCCAGAGGCACACAGGCAAUAUCCAAACCUUCAAUCUGUAGGCCUGAGCGAAAGAGAUGAGCUCGAGCUGGAAGAUUAUUACUAGCCACUAACUCGAAUAAAAGCUGAAGUAACUCAGAAGUAUAGAGAUUGUAAUGGAGUGAUUAUUAUUGCAACUCAAACCAAAAGCUAAGGAAUAACUUCUAAUGAGUGUCUGGUUUCUUUGUGUUGUCACAUGCCCUAAAAGAAUGUUCACAUAGAUUCAUAAGAGCAUAAUCAUGUUUGCAAACCUGAGGAAGCUCUUCCUCCUAUUUACAGCAGCUUUUUGGUCAUGAGAUGCUAAUUAAUCGAAGUAUCUCCUUGAGAGAAACACGGGUAAUUCUUAUUUCAUAUGUUU